GAUCUUAAAAAUAAAACUUGUGCUUUGUCUAUAUAUUUACUGUAUAUGGUAAUCCUCUAAUCUAGUUUAUGCAGUAUUAUAAUGAUCAUAUAAAAAGUGCUCUAUAAAAUAAAGACAUAGGUUGUUUUGUCCGUAAAAAUAGACAUAUAUUCCAUCCACAGUCAUGUCUUGAUAGUACAGUCAUUUCACAACUGACACAGCAAAGGUCAAGAGCUGUUUGAAUUAUAUUAAUUGUUAACCAUAAUGCAAAGUUCAUAGCCGAUGUAAAAGCUUAAGCAUAAAAAAUGUGAAACACAUUCACUUUUUUUAACGGAUUUACCACACUUAAAAAAAAAAAAAAAACACUAAAUAAUUCAAAAUAUCCUUUAUGUAUUUAAGCCCCUAAUAUUUUGAUUCCUGUCAUGUGACAGAAAGGCAAAUUGUCAAAACACAUCAAACCAGAGAAAAUGUCCAGGCAAUAAAUACAGUUUAUCGUAGAUUAUGUAGUUCCUUUUUGACAGAUUAAAACAGUUCACAAAUACAGUCGCCGAAAGACAAGAAUUUAAGACAGUGCUUUACUGUUCUGGAGAAACAAAAAUGUAGACACUUAGUAGAAUUGUGAGCAGAUAUCAGAA